UGUAUUGCGCAAAGUUAAGAUGGUUGCAGGCGUCAUUCGGUCUUUCCUGAAUUUAAUGAAAGAAAAAGAAAAGGUGUCAUACAUCAGUGUCAUGUCACUCUUGCCCAGAGGUAAUACAGCAGACUGACUAUCCUCUCUGUGAAAAUAGAUACGUGAGCUCUUACUGUGGAGCAGCACAUCAUUCAGACCCUGGACUUACUCUCUGGUUCACUGUCCAGCUGACCACUGACAUUAAUCCUGCACCUCCGGCAGCAACGUGAAAGAUGGUCGACUAAAAGUAACAUUUAGGUGACCUCCACAUCCACGGCUCCUCGAUGGUGUUGAACUGGUUUCCUUCGCAGUUUGUCCCAGGAUGAUGUCAAAGAAAACUGCAGAUGCCUCAAUCAGCCGCGGUGCUAUCGGCUCUGAGCUGCAGCACCGUUCCUCAUCAGGAUUCAUCAGGAAGAUUUAGACAGGCACGGUAUCAAACGCAGGUGGUAAUUAUCGAACGCUUAAUCGUCGCCAUGAUUUUCACGAGCUGACACCUGGGCUCAGAGGAGAGCAGCUCUGAUCGGACCCCGCCUAAUUGCAUUGAAAAUGCAUCACUGUCACAUCACAUCCUCUAACCGUGACUGAUGAGGAGGAACAUACAAGCAAACAGCAACAAAACUGACGGAAAUACAAAGCAGCAGCACGAAAAACACUGAUUUUCUUGUUUCACGAUGUGUCUGACAUUACUGACGUGAAUUAUUAUCACUCCCAUGUCUUCACAAACAUCGCCUUCAACAAGUGAAUGUCCUUCUCGCAAAGGCAACUCCUCACUGCAUUAUGGCAACAGAAAGAAAAAGAAAAGGCGAGCCGCCCCCUUUCGCUCUGCUGAUGCAGUCCGCUAUCUGUCUCAUUGUUUUUUCUCUCUGCGUCUCACGGUUAACAGCGACGACAGAUCCUUUCUCUUUGUUUUCUCGAGGCUGCUGCGAUGAUGAUGCACACUCUGGAAUGAAGACGGAUGUGAGAGGGGAAAAAAAAAAAAACGAAACUCUUUCUCCGCCAAGUCACCUUCUCGUGUGUCAUUGUGGAGCGCAGUUAUACGUAAGACAUGUUCACUGGGUUAAACAGUUUUCUUUAUUUUCUAUGAUCGAGAUUAUUUGCGGGCUUGCGCUGAACUGUGUGUGUGUUUUUUGUGUGACUACAUCCUCCGCAGGGAAUUUAAUCUCUUGAAUGUUGGCACUUAAUCCGAUCAUUAAAGGGUUAGUUUGGAUUUUUUGAAGACGGGUUGCAUGAUGUACUUAUCUGCAGUCAGUGGAUUACCGACAGCAAAGGGCCCACCUCGAAAAAUCAUUAUCCGUUUAAGUGUGCGCUAUAUUUAGAAUAGUACAGUUUUACCAUAACUGUCAGACAUCCCUCUGUAAUUGGGAACUGAAGCCAAUAUAUCCAUAUAUGCUUUCUUCAAAUCAACCAGAUGCAAAAAAACAAAACAAAAAACCACUCUGCUUCCCUGUCGGUGCCACGCGCUGCUUCUUCACACCAGGGGUGAGCCGAUGGUCAUCUACUGACAGGUGAUACACCGACUAGGUAUAAGUACCUCAUAUGUACAACCCCACAUCGAAAGACCUGGACUGUCCCUUUAAGUGGAUCAUGUUUCGGGUCCUUGAAACAUUUGAAAAUCCCACGAACGCUCUGACACUUUGCCAACAACACUGAAAACAACUUCUAGCGAUGGUUGUUGCUGUGCAGAACAGUACCGGUGAGAGAUACAGGCGGGAUACAUUAUCAGUGCAGUCGCAUGGUGAGAAAGGUCAAAUAAAGUUUACUGAGUGUUUUUUCAUAUUCAUUUUGUUCAGCAUUUGUUUCUUUUUGCAUCAACCACUGUCGCUUUGAUCUGUUGG